GUGCCAGCCGCCGCGGUAAUACGGAGGGUGCGAGCGUUAAUCGGAAUUACUGGGCGUAGAGGGCGCGUAGGCGGUCGCGCAAGUCGGGUGUGAAAGCCCCGGGCUCAACCUGGGAAUUGCAUUCGAUACUGCGUAACUAGAGUCUGGUAGAGGGAAGCGGAAUUCCGCAUGUAGCGGUGAAAUGCGUAGAUAUGCGGAGGAACACCAGUGGCGAAGGCGGCUUCCUGGACCAAGACUGACGCUGAGGCGCGAAAGCGUGGGGAGCAAACAGGAUUAGAUACCCUGGUAGUCCACGCCCUAAACGAUGAGGACUAGACGUUGGGGGGAUAAAACCCUUUAGUGUCGCAGCUAACGCGUGAAGUCCUCCGCCUGGGGAGUACGGCCGCAAGGUUGAAACUACAGGAAUUGGCGG
rnacentral:rRNA from 1 species